AGGUAGCGAAAUUCCUUGUCGGGUAAGUUCCGACCUGCACGAAUGGCGUAAUGAUGGCCAGGCUGUCUCCACCCGAGACUCAGUGAAAUUGAACUCGCUGUGAAGAUGCAGUGUACCCGCGGCAAGACGGAAAGACCCCGUGAACCUUUACUAUAGCUUGACACUGAACAUUGAGCCUUGAUGUGUAGGAUAGGUGGGAGGCUUGGAAGUGUGGACGCCAGUCUGCAUGGAGCCGACCUUGAAAUACCACCCUUUAAUGUUUGAUGUUCUAACCUUGACCCGUAAUCCGGGUUGGGGACAGUGUCUGGUGGGUAGUUUGACUGGGGCGGUCUCCUCCUAAAGAGUAACGGAGGAGCACGAAGGUUGGCUAAUCCUGGUCGGACAUCAGGAGGUUAGUGCAAUGGCAUAAGCCAGCUUGACUGCGAGCGUGACGGCGCGAGCAGGUGCGAAAGCAGGUCAUAGUGAUCCGGUGGUUCUGAAUGGAAGGGCCAUCGCUCAACGGAUAAAAGGUACUCCGGGGAUAACAGGCUGAUACCGCCCAAGAGUUCAUAUCGACGGCGGUGUUUGGCACCUCGAUGUCGGCUCAUCACAUCCUGGGGCUGAAGUAGGUCCCAAGGGUAUGGCUGUUCGCCAUUUAAAGUGGUACGCGAGCUGGGUUUAGAACGUCGUGAGACAGUUCGGUCCCUAUCUGCCGUGGGCGCUGGAGAACUGAGGGGGGCUGCUCCUAGUACGAGAGGACCGGAGUGGACGCAUCACUGGUGUUCGGGUUGUCAUGCCAAUGGCACUGCCCGGUAGCUAAAUGCGGAAGAGAUAAGUGCUGAAAGCAUCUAAGCACGAAACUUGCCCCGAGAUGAGUUCUCCC
rnacentral:rRNA from 1 species